GGGGAAGUCUGAGCUGGUGGAGCUGGAUUUCUCUCCUUGGCAGUUCUUGUUCUUCUCUCUGGCUGCCCUGAUGCUCGGGAAAGUGGUUCCAAGAGCAGUCUUGACUAGCUUUUUGUGAACCUGAGCCAGCCUGCAUAAUACCACAAAUUUCUUAGACCAUAUUCAAAGUGCCAGAGUGAACCUAGAGAAGGAUCCAAAGAGACUUGCAAAGGCGGUGAGCGCGGGUCUGGAGCCUGCCUUCCCUGAACGCUGGGUCCUGCUCAGAGGAGUUGAGUCAACGCAGUGCGGGC